UUCCACAUGAUCGCAUGUGAUUGUGGGAAAGAUUCUAUCGGCGUGGGAUGGGGUCGCGUCCUAUCAGCUUGUUGGUGAGGUAACGGCUCACCAAGGCUUCGGCGGGUAGCCGGCCUGAGAGGGCGACCGGCCACAUUGGGACUGAGAUACGGCCCAGACUCCUACGGGAGGCAGCAGUGGGGAAUAUUGCACAAUGGGCGCAAGCCUGAUGCAGCGACGCCGCGUGAGGGAUGGAGGCCUUCGGGUUGUAAACCUCUUUUGUUUGGGAGCAAGCCUUCGGGUGAGUGUACCUUUCGAAUAAGCGCCGGCUAACUACGUGCCAGCAGCCGCGGUAAUACGUAGGGCGCAAGCGUUAUCCGGAUUUAUUGGGCGUAAAGGGCUCGUAGGCGGCUCGUCGCGUCCGGUGUGAAAGUCCAUCGCUUAACGGUGGAUCUGCGCCGGGUACGGGCGGG
rnacentral:rRNA from 1 species